UACGUAGGGUGCGAGCGUUAAUCGGAAUUACUGGGCGUAAAGCGUGCGCAGGCGGUCUGUUAAGACCGAUUUGAAAUCCCCGGGCUUAACCUGGGAACUGCAUUGGUGACUGGCAGGCUUUGAGUGUGGCAGAGGGAGGUAGAAUUCCACGUGUAGCAGUGAAAUGCGUAGAGAUGUGGAGGAAUACCGAUGGCGAAGGCAGCCUCCUGGGCCAACACUGACGCUCAUGCACAAAAGCGUGGGGAGCAAACAGG
rnacentral:rRNA from 1 species